GAUAUCCAUGGUUAACUCAAAAUUAUAAUUAAUCCAAAGGCAGGAAAAAAAUGAGAAAGAUAAAUAACCACUACAGUGUAUCAAAUCAGAAAUGUUGAUAUUUCAUUGACUGUUAUCCUUUAUUUUAUGAAAAUACAGUAUAUAUUUAAAAAAUAGAAUUAUCCAACUCAAUUUAGAAAUGAAACAAGUAUUGCAGAAGGAUAUAUUUUUUAGUGAUUGGUAAUGAGGCUACCACAUUGCCACUAUUGUUCAUGGGAAAGGUUAUAGCGAACAGACUAUAGAUGGGGGACAGGACACAGGAAAUGCUCUAUUACGUGAGGAAGGGAUUUGUAACUACAGUCAGGUUGUUAAAACAAAGUUUGGGUAAGGGGAAGGAUAGGGGAGACCUGAAAAAUUGUUGUCAACUUGAAUCUCAUUGUCAAAUUCCAUGUCUGUUCUCUCUCUCUCUCUUUCUCUCUAGUGUGCCUGCUGAUGAUUCUUGCAAUAGAUGUAAAUCUUUUCUUUUUUUGGCAAACAACAGUUAAGUCGCAACCCAGUUAAACUGUCCCCGGUAAAUUGGGAGUCGACUGUAAUAUAAAAUAAUUUUUUAAAAUUAUCUUUUUUCAAUUUGAUUUUCAAAAUUCUUUAAAUUGUUUAUUUAAUAAAAUUAGCAUAUAUAAUUAUUAUUUAC
rnacentral:lncRNA from 1 species